rnacentral:sRNA from 1 species
ACAAAAGGGAUACGGGAAGCACAAAGUAAAGGGGUAGGCUAAAGACAAGCAGAACAAUACGUAGAGGAGAGAAAGGGAGACGUCAAGCAGCCUGCGCCUGGAAGUUGUUAGUAAAAUUAGUGACCAAUGUGAAAUAAGAGAGCUUAUAUUUUCACUUCAUCAUAAUCCACAGAAGAUUAACCUUCAAUGGGAAAUUUUCUUCCAGAAGCUGAAACACAGCCUGUUGUGCCUUACUAUUUUUUGUUAAUUUCUUUCUAUUAUUUUCCUUAUGUUGUUGUUUCCUGUUGUUGUUCCUAUUUGGAAGGGAUUCUUCAUUUUGGACAUUUUCUCUUGUCAUUUCAGAUGAUUCCACACUGCAUGGCCCGAUUUUUAUUCAAGAACCAAGUCCUGUAAUGUUCCCUUUGGAUUCUGAGGAGAAAAAGGUGAAGCUCAAUUGUGAAGUUAAAGGAAAUCCAAAACCUCACAUCAGGUGGAAGUUAAAUGGAACAGAUGUUGACACUGGUAUGGAUUUCCGCUACAGUGUUGUUGAAGGGAGCUUGUUGAUCAAUAACCCCAAUAAAACCCAAGAUGCUGGA